AUACGAGGGGUGCAAGCGUUAUUCGGAAUUACUGGGCGUAAAGAGUGUGUAGACGGCUUAUUAAGUCUGUUGUUAAAUCUUUCGGCUUAACCGAGAGUCCGCAAUGGAAACUAAUAGGCUAGAGGGCGAUAGAGAGAAGUGGAAUUUCCGGAGUAGCGGUAAAAUGCGUAGAUCUCGGAAGGAACACCAAUGGCGAAGGCAGCUUCUUGGGUCGCUUCUGACGUUGAGACACGAAAGCGUGGGUAGC
rnacentral:rRNA from 1 species